CCUAGAAGAACAUAAUUCUAGGAACAUAAUUCUAGGAACAUAAUUCUUUAGUUAAUAUUUGUUUGCAGUUUUCUCCUUUAAUAUUCUAGAAGCACUUAUCCAUGGCCAACACAAUAUUACCAUCCAAUUAUAUAAACCCAAAUGUUUAUCCAAGGAAGCAACUCUAAUACUCUAUGGAUCCUUCUGAUUCCAUGUAUCAACCUAUACAAAAACUACCGUUGGUGUGAUGAUAUCAUUGUCUCUGACUCUCUGUUUCAUUUGUCAUAUACUUCAGAGAAGUUUAGACAAACAAGCCUCAUCGACUUCGAAUUCCAAAUUGUACGAUUCCAUCUAUAAUUUAAUCAAAAAGAAAGAUAACCAGAUCAGAGUUGAACUGAUAAAAGGAGAGCUGGCUUGUAAGAUUUCGUAGAAAGAG
rnacentral:lncRNA from 1 species